rnacentral:rRNA from 1 species
UACGUAGGUGGCGAGCGUUAUCCGGAUUUAUUGGGCGUAAAGCGUCCGCAGACGGCUUGUUAAGUCUAGAAUCAAAGCCCGGAGCUCAACUUCGGUUCGUUCUAGAAACUGGCAGGCUUGAGUAUAGUAGAGGCAAGUGGAAUUUCUAGUGUAGCGGUAGAAUGCGUAGAUAUUAGGAGGAACACCAGUGGCGAAGGCGACUUGCUGGGCUACUACUGACGUUCAUGGACGAAAGCGUGGGGAGCGAAUA